GACCAUGACUCAGUGGUGGAGCAUAUGCUUUGCAUGCAGAAGUUCCUAGGUUCAAGCCCCAGCAUCUCCA